rfam:Lepisosteus oculatus linkage group LG3, whole genome shotgun sequence.
GCCAGCAGCCGUAUCACUCUGAAACUCCCAACUGGCAGCCCACUGAAGAUAAGCAGGUGUGAGCCUGAUUAGUACGUGGAUGAAAGACCUCCUGGGAAAAACUAAGGUUGCUGCUGGAA